AACAGGAUUAGAUACCCUGGUAGUCCACGCCCUAAACGAUGUCUACUAGUUGUCGGGACCUAAUUGUCUUGGUAACGCAGCUAACGCGUGAAGUAGACCGCCUGGGGAGUACGGUCGCAAGAUUAAAACUCAAAGGAAUUGACGGGGACCCGCACAAGCGGUGGAUGAUGUGGAUUAAUUCGAUGCAACGCGAAAAACCUUACCUACCCUUGACAUGGCAGGAAUCCUGAAGAGAUUUAGGAGUGCUCGCAAGAGAACCUGCACACAGGUGCUGCAUGGCUGUCGUCAGCUCGUGUCGUGAGAUGUUGGGUUAAGUCCCGCAACGAGCGCAACCCUUGUCAUUAGUUGCUACGAAAGGGCACUCUAAUGAGACUGCCGGUGACAAACCGGAGGAAGGUGGGGAUGACGUCAAGUCCUCAUGGCCCUUAUGGGUAGGGCUUCACACGUCAUACAAUGGUACAUACAGAGGGCUGCCAACCCGCGAGGGGGAGCUAAUCCCAGAAAGUGUAUCGUAGUCCGGAUUGUAGUCUGCAACUCGACUACAUGAAGUUGGAAUCGCUAGUAAUCGCGGAUCAGCAUGUCGCGGUGAAUACGUUCCCGGGUCUUGUACACACCGCCCGUCACACCAUGGAGCGGGUUCUGCCAGAAGUAGGUAGCUUAACCGUAAGGAGGGCGCUUACCACGGCAGGGUUCGUGACUGGGGUGAAGUCGUAACAAGGUAACC
rnacentral:rRNA from 1 species